GAUGAACGCUGGCGGCGUGCUUAAUACAUGCAAGUCGAACGAAGUUUGUAGCAAUACAUUCUUAGUGGCGAACGGGUGAGUAACGCGUUGGUGACCUGCCCCGAAGCGAGGGAUAACAGUUCGAAAGAACUGCUAAUACCUCAUGUGAUCACCGGUUUUAGAAUCUGGUGAUUAAAGGUGAAAAUCACUUCGGGAGGGGCCUGCGUCCCAUCAGCUAGUUGGUAAGGUAAUGGCUUACCAAGGCGAUGACGGGUAGGGGACCUGAGAGGGUGGCCCCCCACAAUGGAACUGAAACACGGUCCAUACACCUACGGGUGGCAGCAGUAGGGAAUAUUGCAAAUGGGCGAAAGCCUGAUGUAGCAACGCCGCGUGUGCGAUGAAGGUCUUCGGAUUGUAAAGCACUUUUUGGAGGGAUGAGGAAGGACAGUACCUCCAGAAUAAGCCUCGGCUAACUACGUG
rnacentral:rRNA from 1 species